GACGAACGCUGGCGGCGUGCUUAACACAUGCAAGUCGAACGGAAAGGCCCUGCUUGUGUGGUGUGCGCGAGUCGCGAACGGGUGAGUAACGCGUGAGUAACCUGCCCCUCAUCGGGGGAUAACUUGAGGAAACGGGGGCUAAUACCGUAUAAGAGCUCCUGCUGCAUGGUGUGGGUUGGAAAGUUGCGGCGGUUGGGGAUGGACUCGCGGCUUGUCAGCUUGUGGGUGGGGGAGUGGCUAACCAAGGCCUUGGCGGUGAGCCGGCCUGGGAGGGGGACCGGCCCCAUGGGGCUUGGGUUACGGCCAGGCCUCCAACGGGAGCAAGCAGUGGGAAAUAUUGCACAAUGGGCGGAACCCUGAUGAAGCAACGCCGGGUGGGGAAUGACGGCCUUCGGGUUGAAAACCCCUUUGGCAUGUGACGAAGCGUGAGUGACGGUACUGGGUAAAGAAGCACCGGCUAACUACGUG
rnacentral:rRNA from 1 species